GGCUCCUUAGCUCAAUUGGAUAGAGUAUCUGCCUUCGAAGCAGAGGGUUGCAGGUUCGAGUCCUGCAGGGGCCGCCA
rnacentral:tRNA from 2 species